UCCACAGAAUCUUACAAGCAGGCAGCCAACUGACGUUAUAAGGGAGCAGUGCACAACUUUAAAGGAGCAUGUUCCCUAACUGAGCAGGGACGUAACAUUGAAACAACGUGAAGUGGGACAACAUUAAAUGAGGAGUUACUGGAGUUACGAGUGGGG